rnacentral:rRNA from 1 species
GAUGAACGCUGGCGGCGUGCUUAACACAUGCAAGUCGAACGGGAUCCAAGGGGUGCUUGCACUUUUUGGUGAGAGUGGCGCACGGGUGAGUAACACGUGUGUAACCUUUCCUUUUCUUUGGGAUAAGCAUUCGAAAGGGUGUUUUAUACCUUAUGUUCUGUCUGCCUUGCAUGGGGUGGGUCGUCAAGGCUUUGGCCGGAUUUGGGUGGGCUCGCGGUCUAUCUGCUUGUUGGUGGGGUGAUGGCUUACCAAGGCUUUGACGGGUAGCUGGCCUGAGAGGGUGGUGGGACAGAGUGGGACUGAGAUACGGGACAGAAUGCAGCGGGAGGCAGCAGUGGGGGAUGUUGCAAAGUGGGAGAAAGCCUGAUGCAGCGACGCCGGGUGGGGGAUGAAGGGUAUAGGGUUGUAAACUUCUAAGGCUAUGAACAAGGCAUGCCAGUGGGUGUGUUGAGUGUAGGGGUGAAUAAGCGCCGGCUAACUACGUG